GACGAACGCUGGCGGCGUGCCUAAUACAUGCAAGUCGAACGCUUCUUUCCUCCCGAGUGCUUGCCCUCAAUUGGAAAGAGGAGUGGCGGACGGGUGAGUAACACGUGGGUAACCUACCCAUCAGAGGGGGAUAACACCUGGAAACAGGUGCUAAUACCGCAUAACAGUUUAUGCCGCAUGGCAUAAGAGUGAAAGGCGCUUUCGGGUGUCGCUGAUGGAUGGACCCGCGGUGCAUUAGCUAGUUGGUGGGGUAACGGCUCACCAAGGCCACGAUGCAUAGCCGACGUGAGAGGGUGAUCGGCCACACUGGGACUGAGACACGGCCCAGACUCCUGCGGGAGGCAGCAGUAGGGAAUCUUCGGCAAUGGACGAAAGUCUGACCGAGCAACGCCGCGUGAGUGAAGAAGGUGUUCGGAUCGUAAAACUGUGUUGUUAGAGAAGAACAAGGACGUUAGGAACUGAACGUCCCCUGACGGUAUCUAAACAGAAAGCCACGGCUAACUACGUG
rnacentral:rRNA from 1 species